GACGAACGCUGGCGGCGUGCCUAACACAUGCAAGUCGAACGGAAAGUUCCUGUCUUGGUGGGGAGCGCGGCGUACGGAGGGGUAACUCGCACGUAAGUUACCUGUAUCUGACUGAGAGAGAUCCUAAGGAAAGAGGAGCUCAUCCCAGAAAAGAGUUCUUGCUGCGGGGUGGGGGCGGGUUAGUUUCGGUGGUUGGGGGUGGACUCGCGGCUAAUCAGCUUGUUGGUGAGGUAGUGGCUAACGAGGGCGUCGGCGGGUAGCCGGCCUGAGAGGGGGACCGGCCACAUGGGCACUGAGAUACGGCCCAGACCCGUACGGGAGGCAGCAGAGGGGAUUGGUGCAUAAUGCACGGAAGCCUGAUGCAGCAACGCCGCGUGCGGGAUGAUGGCCUUCGGGUUGGAGACCACAAUCCCCUUUGCCGGAGCGUGAGUGACGGUACCGGGUAAAGAAGCACCGGCUAACUCCGUG
rnacentral:rRNA from 1 species